AUUGAACGCUGGCGGCAGGCCUAACACAUGCAAGUCGAACGGUAAGAGGAAGCAGCUUGCUGCUUUGCUGACGAGUGGCGGACGGGUGAGUAAUGUCUGGGAAACUGCCUGAUGGAGGGGGAUAACUACUGGAAACGGUAGCUAAUACCGCAUAACGUCGCAAGACCAAAGAGGGGGACCUUAGGGCCUCUUGCCAUCGGAUGUGCCCAGAUGGGAUUAGCUAGUAGGUGGGGUAACGGCUCACCUAGGCGACGAUCCCUAGCUGGUCUGAGAGGAUGACCAGCCACACUGGAACUGAGACACGGUCCAGACUCCUACGGGAGGCAGCAGUGGGGAAUAUUGCACAAUGGGCGCAAGCCUGAUGCAGCCAUGCCGCGUGUAUGAAGAAGGCCUUCGGGUUGUAAAGUACUUUCAGCGGGGAGGAAGGGAGUAAAGUUAAUACCUUUGCUCAUUGACGUUACCCGCAGAAGAAGCACCGGCUAACUCCGUG
rnacentral:rRNA from 1 species